rnacentral:lncRNA from 1 species
AAGUUUCUUCUAUUAAUUCUGGUCCUUCAAGCCACUGCCUUCGGAGCUAUUCCUGUGGCUAAUAGUACAAGUCCAGAACAAAAUGAUGUGUUUGCACAAAGGUACAUGGGCAUCUUUUAUGGUCUCCUGAAGGAAAGAAUUCCAAUGAUCACAAAGAGAGCCAACAGAGAAUUCAAGGCACACAAAAUCCAGGAAAUAUAGCAGUUUUUGGGGCCAAAUGUGACCGGGCAAUUGGAUGCAUCUACUCUGGCAAUGAUGCAUGCACCUUGAUGAGCAGUACCUAAUGUUCAUCAGGUUAACACAGUGAUGGGGAAACCAGUAUGGAUGAAAUGUCAUAUCACCUACACAAUCAAGAAUUAUACUACUGGCAUGGUGUAGAAAGAUUUUGACUAUGCCAUCCAGAAGGCUUUCAAGUAUGGAGUGAUAUGGUACCUGCCACCCCCGAAAUUCAAACAGAUUGACCCAGGUGAGGCUGACAUUUUUAUAUUUUGCAUAAGGAGAUCAUGAAGACAGGAAUCCUUUUGAUGGCAGAGGUGGAACCUAUUGCCUAUGCUUAUGGUCUGGGAGCUGGUGUUGAUGGAUACUUGCAUUAUGAGGAGGCUAAAAUCUGAAUUCAACACUCCAAAGGCAUAAACUUGCUUCUUGAUGCUGCUGAUAGGGCCAUUCCUUGGGUCUUAGCCACUCCAAAGAUCCAAAAGCUAUUUUUCUCUCUCUAGAGUUAUGUUGAUCCAACCAGAUUUUGCCUCUCUACUGAUGACAUCUAUGAUAUUCAGUUUCUCCGUGGAAGCCCAUAAAAGCACCAACCCCUGUCACAUCCUUAUACUCUAAAACCUGCUACCUGUGACUCCAAGUUAAGCUUUGAUGCUGUCACUAUAAUUGAAGGAAAAAUCUUUUUCUUUAAAGACAGGUUCUUUUGGUGUAAGCUUCCUGAACUAUCAAAGAGCAGUGUUAGUUUAAUUUCUUCCUUAUGGCUGAUCUUGUCAUCUGGCAUUCAAGCUGCUUAUAAAAUUGGAUCCAGGAGUCAAAUUCUUCUUUUUAAAGAUGAAAGUACUGGUUAAUCAGUUGUUUAAAACCAGACUAUCACAAGAGGAUACAUUCUCCGAGCUUCCUUGUCUCUGUGAAAAGAUUUGAUGGUGCCGUUUUUAAUUCACUUAACUACAAGACCUACUUCUUUGUGGAUAAAGAGUAUUGGAGGUGAGAUGAGAAAAGGCAGUUCAUGAACCCUGAUUAUCCUGUACUAUUUACCAAGAAAUUUUCAGGAAUUAGACCCCAAAUUGAUGUAGUCUUCUACUCCAAAGAAUAUUACCGUGUCUUCUAAGAUUGUAAUCAAGUUAAAUAUGACAUACUAACCAAUUGUGUCACCAAAAGGCUGCAAAGAGUUAACAAGUUCCGUUGGUGU